rnacentral:rRNA from 1 species
CCCUUAGAUGUUCUGGGCCGCACGCGCGCUACACUGAUGCAUUCAACGAGCCUAUCCUUGACCGACAGGUCCGGGUAAUCUUUGAAUCUGCAUCGUGACGGGGAUAGAUUAUUGCAAUUAUUAAUCUUCAACGAGGAAUGCCUAGUAGGCGCAAGUCAUCAGCUUGCGUCGAUUACGUCCCUGCCCUUUGUACACACCGCCCGUCGCUACUACCGAUUGAACGUUUUAGUGAGGUAUUUGGAUCGGCGCUCCGGAGGUUCGCGCCUCCGUUGUGCUGAAAAGACUCCCAAACUUGAGCGUUUAGAGGAAGUAAAAGUCGUAACA